rnacentral:lncRNA from 1 species
UCCUAGAGUUAGGCCGAUAUUCUCUUUAGAGCAUGAUGGAUGAGGGUAGGAAGGCAAGGAAGUUUAAGUGGAGCCCCUGCCCUGAUAUCAGACAACAGCUGUACGUAUUUGAGCUUAGCACCUACUUGACUGUUCUGGCUAAGACACAGCUAAUGGAGAGGAACAUUCGCAUCUUUUCUCUAGUAGCAAGGAAUCUCAGACCUUUGGCUUCAUACCGCAGAU